rnacentral:rRNA from 1 species
AUUGAACGCUGGCGGCAUGCCUUACACAUGCAAGUCGAACGGUAACGGGCCUUCGGGUGCCGACGAGCGGCGCACGGGUGAGUAAUACAUCGGAACGUGCCCGAUCGUGGGGGAUAACGAGGCGAAAGCUUUGCUAAUACCGCAUACGAUCUACGGAUGAAAGCAGGGGACCGCAAGGCCUUGCGCGGACGGAGCGGCCGAUGGCAGAUUAGGUAGUUGGUGGGAUAAAAGCUUACCAAGCCGACGAUCUGUAGCUGGUCUGAGAGGAUGAUCAGCCACACUGGGACUGAGACACGGCCCAGACUCCUACGGGAGGCAGCAGUGGGGAAUUUUGGACAAUGGGCGCAAGCCUGAUCCAGCCAUGCCGCGUGCAGGAUGAAGGCCUUCGGGUUGUAAACUGCUUUUGUACGGAACGAAAAGCCUUCUUUUAAUACAGGAGGGUCAUGACGGUACCGUAAGAAUAAGCACCGGCUAACUACGUG